rnacentral:rRNA from 1 species
UACGAAGGGGCUAGCGUUGUUCGGAAUUACUGGGCGUAAAGCGCACGUAGGCGGAUCAUUUAGUCAGGGGCGAAAUCCCGGGGCUCAACCUCGGAACUGCCUUUGAUACUGAUGGUCUCGAGUCCGGAAGAGGUGAGUGGAAUUCCUAGUGUAGAGGUGAAAUUCGUAGAUAUUCGCAAGAACACCAGUGGCGAAGGCGGCUCACUGGCCCGGUACUGACGCUGAGGUGCGAAAGCGAUGGGGAGCAAA